GCCAGACUCCUACGGGAGGCAGCAGUGGGGGAUAUUGCACAAUGGGGGGAACCCUGAUGCAGCGACGCCGCGUGGGUGAAGGAGUAUUUCGGUAUGUAAAGCCCUAUCGGCAGGGAAGAAGCAAGACGGUACCUGACUAAGAAGCCCCGGCUAACUACGUGCCAGCAGCCGCGGUAAUACGUAGGGGGCAAGCGUUAUCCGGAUUUACUGGGUGUAAAGGGAGCGUAGACGGCGAUGCAAGCCAGAUGUGAAAGCCCGGGGCUCAACCCCGGGACUGCAUUUGGAACUGUGUGGCUGGAGUGUCGGAGAGGCAGGCGGAAUUCCUAGUGUAGCGGUGAAAUGCGUAGAUAUUAGGAGGAACACCAGUGGCGAAGGCGGCCUGCUGGACGAUGACUGACGUUGAGGCUCGAAAGCGUGGGGAGCAAACAGGAUUAGAUACCCGUGUAG
rnacentral:rRNA from 1 species